ACGGGAGGCAGCAGUGGGGAAUAUUGGACAAUGGGGGGAACCCUGAUCCAGCGACGCCGCGUGAGUGAAGAAGUAUUUCGGUAUGUAAAGCUCUAUCAGCAAGGAAGAAAAUGACGGUACUUGACUAAGAAGCUCCGGCUAAGUACGUGCCAGCAGCCGCGGUAAUACGUAUGGAGCAAGCGUUAUCCGGAUUUACUGGGUGUAAAGGGAGCGUAGACGGUAAAGCAAGUCUGAAGUGAAAUCCCGGGGCUCAACCCCGGAACUGCUUUGGAAACUGUUUAACUAGAGUGCAGGAGAGGUAAGCGGAAUUCCUAGUGUAGCGGUGAAAUGCGUAGAUAUUAGGAGGAAUACCGGUGGCGAAGGCGAUUUACUGGACGACAACUGACGCUGAGACACGAAAGCGUGGGGAGCAAACAGGAUUAGAUACCCUGGUA
rnacentral:rRNA from 1 species